AACAACAGUAUACUGAGUAGUUUUGCCUUAUAAAAAUGUAACUUUGUUUAAGGUGGAUAUAGAUCCUAGGUGACAUCAUCAAUGGCAUCAAUCAAUUGUACAUGCUUAUAGCAGAGUUUUCUAAGAAAAAGAUAUAGAGUGGCUAGACCAUGGGUCGUCAACCUGGUCCCUACCGCACACUAGUGGGCGUUUCAGGAUUCCAGGUGGGCGGUAGGGAUUUUCUAAUUUUGAGAGACCAGGCGGGCGGAUGCAAGCCGGCGGUACCCCUGCGACCGGGUACCGCCAUCACCAUUUGCCACCAUUUUGUCUGUGUGUGUCUGUGUCUAUGUGUGUGUCUGUGUCUGUAUGUAUGUGUCUGUAUCUUUGUAUGUAUGUGUGUGUAUGUCUGUAUGUGUGUGUCUGUAUG